UACGUAGGGUGCGAGCGUUAAUCGGAAUUACUGGGCGUAAAGCGUGCGUAGGCGGUUCGUUAAGUUCGUUGUGAAAGCCCCGGGCUCAACCUGGGAAUGGCAAUGGAAACUGGCGGGCUGGAGUAUGGCAGAGGGGGGUGGAAUUCCGCGUGUAGCAGUGAAAUGCGUAGAGAUGCGGAGGAACACCGAUGGCGAAGGCAGCCCCCUGGGCCAAUACUGACGCUCAUGUGCGAAAGCGUGGGGAGCAAACAGG
rnacentral:rRNA from 1 species